rnacentral:rRNA from 1 species
CCUACGGGAGGCAGCAGUGGGGAAUAUUGGACAAUGGGGGGAACCCUGAUCCAGCGACGCCGCGUGAGUGAAGAAGUAUUUCGGUAUUUAAAGCUCUAUCAGCAGGGAAGAAAGACAUGACGGUACCUGACUAAUAAGCCCCGGCUAACUACGUGCCAGCAGCCGCGGUAAUACGUAGGGGGCAAGCGUUCUCCGGAUUUACGGGGUGUAAAGGGAGCGUAGACGGCGAUGCAAGUCUGAAGUGAAAGGCGGGGGCCCAACCUCCGGACUGCUUUGGAAACUGUAUGGCUGGAGUGCAGGGGAGGUAAGUGGAAUUCAUGGUGUAGCGGUGAAAUGCGUAGAUAUUAGGAGGAACACCAGUGGCGAAGGCGGCUUACUGGACUGUAACUGACGUUGAGGCUCGAAAGCGUGGGGAGCAAACAGGAUUAGAUACCCUUGUAGUC